UUGCUCUUGUGUCAUGCUGAUCGCGAUUACUAGCAAUUCCAUGCUUCAUGCAGGCGAGUUUCAGCCUGCAAUCUGAACUGAGAUCGUUUUUAGGGGUUCGCUCCACCUCGCGGUCUUGCUUCCCUCUGUUAACGACCAUUGUAGUACGUGUGUAGCCCAGGUCAUAAGGGGCAUGAUGAUUUGACGUCAUCCCCACCUUCCUCCGUUUUGUCAACGGCGGUCUGAAUAGAGUGCUCUUUCGUAGCAACUAUUCACAAGGGUUGCGCUCGUUGCGGGACUUAACCCAACAUCUCACGACACGAGCUGACGACAACCAUGCACCACCUGUCUCACCGCUCCCCGAAGGGCACUCCCGUAUCUCUACAGGAUUCGGUGGAUGUCAAGACCUGGUAAGGUUCUA
rnacentral:rRNA from 1 species